rnacentral:rRNA from 1 species
AUUGAACGCUGGCGGUAUGCUUAACACAUGCAAGUCGAACGGCAGCACAGUAUGUAGCAAUACAUAUGGGUGGCGAGUGGCGGACGGGUGAGUAACGCGUAGGAAUCUACCCUAAAGCGGGGGACAACCCGAGGAAACUCGGGCUAAUACCGCAUAAUCUCGAAAGAGUAAAGCUGGGCCAACCUGGCACUUUAGGAGGAGCCUGCGUCCGAUUAGCUAGUUGGUGAGGUAAAGGCUCACCAAGGCGAUGAUCGGUAGCUGGUCUGAGAGGAUGAUCAGUGACACCGGGUCUGGGACACGGCCCAGACUCCGAAGGGAGGCAGCAGUGGGGAAGAUUGGAGAAUGGGGGCAACCCUGAUCCAGCAAUACCGCGUGUGUGAAGAAGGCCUGAGGGUUGUAAAGCACUUUAGUUGGGGAAGAAGGAUAGUUGUUUAAGAGAUGAUUAUUUUGACGGUACCCAAAGAAUAAGCACCGGCUAACUCUGUGCCAGCCGCCGCCGUAA